rnacentral:rRNA from 1 species
AGAGUUUGAUCAUGGCUCAGGAUGAACGCUGGCGGCGUGCCUAACACAUGCAAGUCGAGCGAUCUUCUUCGGAAGAGAGCGGCGGACGGGUGAGUAACGCGUGGGUAACCUGCCCUGUACACACGGAUAACAUACCGAAAGGUAUGCUAAUACGGGAUAAUAUGCUUUUAUCGCAUGGUAGAAGUAUCAAAGCUCCGGCGGUACAGGAUGGACCCGCGUCUGAUUAGCUAGUUGGUAAGGUAAUGGCUUACCAAGGCGACGAUCAGUAGCCGACCUGAGAGGGUGAUCGGCCACAUUGGAACUGAGACACGGUCCAAACUCCUACGGGAGGCAGCAGUGGGGAAUAUUGCACAAUGGGCGAAAGCCUGAUGCAGCAACGCCGCGUGAGCGAUGAAGGCCUUCGGGUCGUAAAGCUCUGUCCUCAAGGAAGAUAAUGACGGUACUUGAGGAGGAAGCCCCGGCUAACUACGUGCCAGCAGCCGCGGUAAUACGUAGGGGGCUAGCGUUAUCCGGAAUUACUGGGCGUAAAGGGUGCGUAGGUGGUUUCUUAAGUCAGAGGUGAAAGGCUACGGCUCAACCGUAGUAAGCCUUUGAAACUGGGAAACUUGAGUGCAGGAGAGGAGAGUGGAAUUCCUAGUGUAGCGGUGAAAUGCGUAGAUAUUAGGAGGAACACCAGUUGCGAAGGCGGCUCUCUGGACUGUAACUGACACUGAGGCACGAAAGCGUGGGGAGCAAACAGGAUUAGAUACCCUGGUAGU